CGACCUACGGGUGAAAGCAGGGGAUCUUCGGACCUUGCGCGAUUGAAUGAGCCGAUGUCGGAUUAGCUAGUUGGCGGGGUAAAGGCCCACCAAGGCGACGAUCCGUAGCUGGUCUGAGAGGAUGAUCAGCCACACUGGAACUGAGACACGGUCCAGACUCCUACGGGAGGCAGCAGUGGGGAAUAUUGGACAAUGGGCGCAAGCCUGAUCCAGCCAUACCGCGUGGGUGAAGAAGGCCUUCGGGUUGUAAAGCCCUUUUGUUGGGAAAGAAAUCCAGCCGGCUAAUACCCGGUUGGGAUGACGGUACCCAAAGAAUAAGCACCGGCUAACUUCGUGCCAGCAGCCGCGGUAAUACGAAGGGUGCAAGCGUUACUCGGAAUUACUGGGCGUAAAGCGUGCGUAGGUGGUCGUUUAAGUCCGUUGUGAAAGCCCUGGGCUCAACCUGGGAACUGCAGUGGAUACUGGGCGACUAGAGUGUGGUAGAGGGUAGCGGAAUUCCUGGUGUAGCAGUGAAAUGCGUAGAGAUCAGGAGGAACAUCCAUGGCGAAGGCAGCUACCUGGACCAACAC
rnacentral:rRNA from 1 species